UCCAGUCAGGCAGGGCCGCGCCGACGCGCAGCCCGAGAGCUCGGCGACCCUGGUAAUGGCCAAAAGGCCAGUACCCGGAGAGGGUUGGGGCACUCGCUGGUUUCCCGAUAAAUGUUUACCAAGAGGGGAGGAGAUCCCAGGGAGAGAAUGAAAUGGACUGCCUGCCGCCAAAGAGACUGGAUUCUUGGUUGGGUCCAGAUUUCUCUUGUGAAGUCCUCCCCCAUCUGAGUUUGCACCAGGAUUUGUGCAACCUGGUUCAGAUGGCCAUGGAAGUCGCCCAUGGCUGGAGUGAAAAUUUGCCAGCUCCGAGAUGCUAUAGUUACAAGCAAUGCUUAACCCACUGGUACUACCAGGAGGUGAGAAGGCACAAGAAGAUGAAGAAUGGCUGGGGAAGAGGAAGGUGUCCUCUUCUGAGAGGGAGAGAAAAUAAUGGGAAUUCAGUUCUUUUUUCUUUUCUUUUUCUUUUUGCAUACUCGGGGCUGACCCCACGGCCUAGUGACUUGUGAAUGUGGGAAUGGUGGUUCAGGAAGGUGGUGGGAGCUGGGGUCACAUUGCAAAGGUGGUGAGAAAAUAGCCAAGAAGCACUUGAAAAGAUGGACAAUUCAAGUCAAAACCACCAUGAGAUACCACUUCACGCCCACGAGCAUGGGUAGGAUCCAGAAAGGGGAAAUCAGCAAGUGCUUGCUGGCCAAGAUGUGGAGAAGUCACGCCCCUCUUUCCCUGCCACUGGAAAGUGGUGCUGCCACUCUGGAGAAGAGUUAGUUGGUUCCAUGAUAAAUUACACCUAGAAUAACAACCAUAUUACCACUCACGUGUAUGUCCAAGUAACUGAGCACAGGUGUUCAAGCCAUCCCUUUUCACAAAUGUUCGUGGCAGCACUGUUCACAAUGGCCAGAAGGUGGAAGCAACCAAACUGCCCAACUAUGGAGGAAUGGAAGAAUGACACAUGGAAGGUACCUGUGAGGGAAUAUUAUGCUGCCAUAUAAAGGAAGGAAGUGCUGACACACCCUGCAGUGAACCUGGAGAACUUGAUGCUUUAGGGCUGGGGUGCUUGUAGCUCAGGGGCAGGGUGCUUGCGUAACAUGCAAAAGACCCUGGGUCCCAUCCCAGGGACCAUGGAAGAAUAAAAAUAAAAAGGACACUUACUGAGUGACUCCAUUUAAAUGAAAUGCCGGAGGAGGCUGAUGCUUAGAGACAGAAUGAAGAUUAGUGGUUGCUAGGGUCUGGGGGACAGGGAGGGAGUGGGAGUGAGCUUAGGGGAUAGGCAGCUUCCUUCUGGGGUAGUGGGAAAGGUCUGGAUUUAGACAGUGGUGAAGAUCAUCCAGCAUUACCCACUUGAAUCAAAGUGUGAAAUAUGAUAUAUCAAGAACUAUGUAAUGUUUUGAACA